AUGAAGGACUUCGGUUAUGUCUCCAGGUGUGUGUGAAACAGGAAGAUGAAUACAGCGUGUGGAGACAUGUCUGAUUUACAAAAACAUGUUUGAGCACUUUCAUGGGGAAGGAAUGUUUGGAAAGUUUUCUGAUGACUUCCUCCUCCUGAACCGCGCAGUGUGAUAGAGUUCGGUCUCCCCCUCCAUCGUCUACGCUGACUCCAGUAUCGCCUGCCUCCUGAGGCAGACGCGUUUCAAAGCGUUAGAGAACCGGAUUCCUUCACUGGUACCCCCGCGCCCUUCAGGUAUGUCAUGGUUGCUUUCCUCUUCCUACGGGACACCCCCACGGUGUGUUUGUUCACUGCUGUGUGUGUGUGCACUUUGGAUGGGUUAAAUGCAGAGCACAAAUUCUGAGUAUGGGUCACCAUACUUGGCCAGAAAGUCACUUUCACUUUCAACAAUCUCCGAGAAACCGUUUAAAAGCCGUAGGUUGGCGUUCCUUGUCACGUUAGAGAGGCGAAUCUAAAUCAGGCAGACGUCUACAGCUCAGCAGCAGUUCAGACAGUUAAAUCAAUAGUUUGACAACAAGCCGAAUAUCAUCGCGUUCUGGAUGAAGCAGCACAAAGUUAAAAUGGCAAAGCGGUUUUUAUCUGGCUUCUUGCUUGUUUUCUACUGUAUUGCUAACAUGGUGCUGCAAGUUUUAUCUGCUAACAUCGUCAAUGGAACCAGAGGAGCCUCAUGGAUCUGGCCAUGCCAUCACACCCUCAGUGAACCGCUCCAGACUGGAGAAAUCUCCAUAUACUGAUCAGUUAUCUUCUGGCAACUUCUCACUUGCCAUUGAGCCACUGACACUGAGAGAUGACCAGACCUUCCUGGAAGUCAUUCUUGCACCAGGAAACAGACCUAGCGAGAAGCUCUGCCAGACAAGUCUAUAUGUGGCAGCUCUUUUCCAGAAACCUCAAAUUGAGAUAAACCAAACAGAGAUGACAGCAGCCUGCAGCACAAAGGGAGGUUACCCUAAACCUGAAAUCAGAUGGAGUUUUGAGGGUGGUGUGAGUAGAGUGGGACAACAUGAAGUACAGACCACUGUGACCUAUGAAGAAGAUGGCACCUAUAGUGUCCACAGCACUGCAAACAUCACAGGAUUACAGAAAGUGACCUGUGAUGUCUACAACCCGACUUCAAACCAGACUGUGAGUUCAACUAAAGAUGUGCCCCCUCACAGUCCUGUGUCUCCAGGUGCUGACGUGUGAUGCGUACAGGAGCGCUCAUCAAGCUGAGGCAGCAGGGACUGUGCAGUUUGCUGUCUAUACAUCUGGCAAAUAUCCACUCCCUUGUAAAUAAGGUGGACAAGGUGCUGCUUCACAACACCAAAAACUCAGACUGGCAGAUUCGCCACACUCUGUUUCACUGAAACCUGGCUCAGCGAACAUGUCUCGGACAGCGCACUAUGGCUGCCUGAAUUGCAGUUUCUCAGAGCAGACUGCUGCACAAAGCGCUCAGGGAAAAGAAAGAGAGAUGGAAUCUGCUUCUGUGUAAACAAAGGUUGGUGCACAGCUUAUCCAUCUUACUGAAUUAGUCAUGCAGUCCUCACUUGGAGAAAAUCUUCAUAAACUACAAACCAUUUUAUUCACCCUGGGAGUUCACCACAUUUGUUCUGGUCAUAGUUUAGGAGAUUCAACCUCAGGCCUGCGUCACCGAGACGUCACAACAGCUGGCUGAGCAGGUAACGAAUGUGGAAAAACAACACCCAGACUCCCCUGCUCAUCAUCCUGGGGGAUUUUAACAGAACAACAAAUGUCACCCAUGAACUUUGCAAACACAGACAGCAUAUUAAAUGUCCCACUAGGGACACGAAUACAGUGGACCACUGUUACACAGUUUUAAAGGACACUUAUCGCUGUUUCUGUGCUGCUUUAGGACUCUCUGAAUCCUGUCUGCUUACUCUCAUCCUGACCUAUAGGCAGAAGUUGAAAUCCUCUAAUUCUGUAGUAAUGUCAAGAACCAGGGAGGUAAUCAGGAGCACAGUAUCACCCACACGAAGUACAGAGUUAGAAGAAAGAGGUCAUUUAUUGGUACAAACAACAAUGAAUGGCAGUGACCAGUAGGUGGUGAUGAUGCGCAGGGUUAGUCUUAUUGCAGUUGAGUGGUUUCAGCCGGGCCAAAACACCGUAUGGACGUGCCGGGAUCAGCUGAUGGGUCUGGGAGAACUGAAUUUGGCCCGCAGAGCAACAUCUGACGGUGGCUGACUUUCCUAGGUCGAAGGAUCCGGUUUGAUUCACAGUCAGUUUUAAAAGAAGAGAAAAAGAAUCAAAAGCUCAGGCAGCUCGUAGAUCAAACACUGGCACUUGGAAAUCACAAUUCCCGUGAUAGGGAUCUCAAAAAUUCUUAACCAAAAAAAACAAGGUUGGAACCGAGGCUGGUCGGAAAAAACACAGAGGAACUCCACCACAAUGUUUCUCUUCGGCAAAAUCCACUUCCGCAAAAAUACUAGUCCAGGUCAAAAAAUCAGGGAAACAGAAAAAGACUUAGCUACGAGCUCUUUCCUGAUGUCCUUCGUUUAAAG
rnacentral:lncRNA from 1 species